rnacentral:rRNA from 1 species
CCUACGGGGGGCAGCAGUAGGGAAUCUUUCACAAUGGGCGAAAGCCUGAUGGAGCAACGCCGCGUGCAGGAUGAAGGCCUUCGGGUUGUAAACUGCUUUUAUAAGCGAGAAAUAUGAUGGUAACUUAUGAAUAAGGAUCGGCUAACUACGUGCCAGCAGCCGCGGUCAUACGUAGGAUCCGAGCAUUAUCCGGAGUGACUGGGUGUAAAGAGUUGCGUAGGUGGCAUAAUAAGUAGCUAGUGAAAUCUGGUGGCUCAACCAUUCAGACUAUUAGCUAAACUGUUAAGCUCGAGACCGUUAGGGGUAACUGGAAGUGCUAGUGUAGGAGUGAAAUCCGUAGAUAUUAGAAGGAACACCAAUAGCGUAGGCAGGUUGCUGGGACGGUUCUGACACUAAGGCACGAAAGCGUAGGGAGCAAACGGGAUUAGAUACCCGAGUAGUC